rnacentral:rRNA from 1 species
AUUGGACGCUGGCGGAAUGCUUUACACAUGCAAGUCGAGCGGCAGCACGGGGGCAACCCUGGUGGCGAGCGGCGAACGGGUGAGUAAUACAUCGGAACAUGCCCAGUCGUGGGGGAUAACACUUCGAAAGAAGUGCUAAUACCGCAUACGUCCUGAGGGAGAAAGCGGGGGAUCUUCGGACCUCGCGCGAUUGGAGUGGCCGAUGUCAGAUUAGCUAGUUGGUGGGGUAAAGGCCUACCAAGGCAACGAUCUGUAGCUGGUCUGGGAGGAUGAUCAGCCACACUGGGACGGAGACAGGGCCCAGGCUCCUACGGGUGGUAGCAGCGGGGAAUUUUGGACAAUGGGGGCAACCCUGAUCCAGCCAUUCCGCGUGAGUGAAGAAGGCCUUCGGGUUGUAAAGCUCUUUCGGCAGGAACGAAACGGCGAGCUCUAACAUAGCUUGCUAAUGACGGUACCUGAAGAAGAAGCACCGGCUAACUACGUGCCAGCCGCCGCAGUAAGAC